rnacentral:tRNA from 1 species
GGGCCGGUCGUCUAGCCUGGUUAGGAUACCGCUCUCACACAGCGGGGGUCGAGAGUUCGAAUCUCUCCCGGCCCA